rnacentral:rRNA from 1 species
GGGGGGAAUUUUGGACAAUGGGGGCAACCCUGAUCCAGCCAUGCCGCGUGCGGGAAGAAGGCCUUCGGGUUGUAAACCGCUUUUAGCCGGGAAGAAAAGGCGCGGGCUAACACCUUGCGUUCUUGACGGUACCGGCGGAAUAAGCACCGGCUAACUACGUGCCAGCAGCCGCGGUAAUACGUAGGGUGCGAGCGUUAAUCGGAAUUACUGGGCGUAAAGCGUGCGCAGGCGGUUCGUUAAGUCUGAUGUGAAAGCCCCGGGCUCAACCUGGGAAUGGCAUUGGAUACUGGCGGGCUUGAGUGUGGCGAGAGGGGGGUGGAAUUCCGGCGUGUAGCAGUGAAAUGCGUAGAGAUGCGGAGGAACACCGGAUGGCGAAGGCAGCCCCCGUGGGCUGACACUGAC